UUAGAGUUGUUUUUAUGGUGUUAAUUUAUCAGAGUUAAAAAGUGUUGAUUCUGGUGUUGAUUUGAAUGGCAUUAACACUUGCAGUGUAAAUCAGUGGUCGGAGUCAGUGUAAUUACAGCGAGUUGACAUAAUUGACACUGGUGAUGAGUUGAUCCAAUUUCCGGUCCUUGCACAUUAUUUCCUUUUUGAUUAAUGGCGGACAACCACAAGGAGAGGACAGUGUUCAAACAGAUAACGCGACAGACCACCGACAGCAUCUCGAGGCCAUUUAGCUGCACUACUUGUUAGCAAGCAAAUUGAGCUUUCAUGUUCAUCAAGGCGUGAAGACAUUUCUGAAACUGCACAGCGAUAGUAGGUUCCAAGACUUUCUCACUGAAGGAGGGAUCCCCACCUGCAAACAGCAGGAAACGUAUGCCUUGGACAUUAUUUCUCUCUUUCCUAGCCUGAAAGACCAGUUUUCAACAAAGGGCUAUGAGCAUUUCUACGUUCCG